UACGGGGGGAGCGAGCGUUGUUCGGAUUCAUUGGGCGUAAAGGGCGCGUAGGCGGCCCGGAAAGUCUGACGUGAAAUGCACCGGUUCAACCGGGGCACUGGGUCAGAAACUUCCAGGCUUGAGGUCGAGGGAGGAAGGUGGAAUUCCUGGUGUAGCGGUGAAAUGCGUAGAUAUCAGGAGGAACACACGUGGCGAAGGCGACCUUCUAUCUCGAUGCUGACGCUGAGGCGCGAAAGCUAGGGGAGCAAACGGG
rnacentral:rRNA from 1 species